GCCUCUGUGGUGGAAUGGUAGACACGUCGGUUUCAAAAACCGAUGCUUCAUGCAUAAGGGUUCAAGUCCCUUCGGAGGCA
rnacentral:tRNA from 1 species